rnacentral:rRNA from 1 species
AUUGAACGCUGGCGGCAGGCCUAACACAUGCAAGUCGAGCGGAUGAAGGGAGCUUGCUCCUGGAUUCAGCGGCGGACGGGUGAGUAAUGCCUAGGAAUCUGCCUGGUAGUGGGGGAUAACGUCCGGAAACGGGCGCUAAUACCGCAUACGUCCUGAGGGAGAAAGUGGGGGAUCUUCGGACCUCACGCUAUCAGAUGAGCCUAGGUCGGAUUAGCUAGUUGGUGGGGUAAAGGCCUACCAAGGCGACGCUCCGUAACUGGUCUGAGAGGAUGAUCAGUCACACUGGAACUGAGACACGGUCCAGACUCCUACGGGAGGCAGCAGUGGGGAAUAUUGGACGAUGGGCGAAAGCCUGAUCCAGCCAUGCCGCGUGUGUGAAGAAGGUCUUCGGAUUGGAAAGCACUUUAAGUUGGGAGGAAGGGCAGUAAGUUAAGACCUUGCUGUUUUGACGUUACCAACAGAAUAAGCACCGGCUAACUUCGUG